AGAGUUUGAUCCUGGCUCAGGACGAACGCUGGCGGCGUGCCUAACACAUGCAAGUCGAGCGCGCAGCCAUCGGUAGCAAUACCGGUGGUGGGCGAGCGGCGAACGGGUGCGUAACACGUGGGCAACCUGCCCCAGACUCUGGGAUAACCCCGGGAAACCGGGGCUAAUACCGGAUACUCUCGGCCGGCCGCAUGAUCGGCCGAGGAAAGCUCCGACGGUCUGGGAUGGGCCCGCGGCCUAUCAGCUUGUUGGUGGGGUAACGGCCUACCAAGGCGACGACGGGUAGCUGGUCUGAGAGGACGGCCAGCCACACUGGGACUGAGAUACGGCCCAGACUCCCACGGGAGGCAGCAGUGGGGAAUCUUGCGCAAUGGGCGAAAGCCUGACGCAGCGACGCCGCGUGAGGGAUGAAGGCCUUCGGGUUGUAAACCUCUUUCGGCAGGGACGAAGCGAAAGUGACGGUACCUGCAGAAGAAGCCCCGGCUAACUACGUGCCAGCAGCCGCGGUA
rnacentral:rRNA from 1 species